AUUGAACGCUGGCGGGAUGCUUUACACAUGCAAGUCGAACGGCAGCACGGGUGCUUGCACCUGGUGGCGAGUGGCGAACGGGUGAGUAACAUAUCGGAACGUACCCAGUAAUGGGGGAUAACUAACCGAAAGGUUAGCUAAUACCGCAUACGCCCUGAGGGGGAAAGCGGGGGAUCGAAAGACCUCGCGUUAUUGGAGCGGCCGAUAUCUGAUUAGCUAGUUGGUGAGGUAAAGGCGCACCAAGGCGACGAUCAGUAGCAGGGCUGAGAGGAUGAUCUGCCACACUGGAACUGAGACACGGUCCAGACUCCGACGGGAGGCAGCAGUGGGGAAUUUUGGACAAUGGGGGAAACCCUGAUCCAGCCAUUCCGCGUGAGUGAAGAAGGCCUUCGGGUUGUAAAGCUCUUUCGGCAGGGAAGAAACGGUUCUGGAUAAUACCCGGAGCUAAUGACGGUACCUGAAGAAGAAGCACCGGCUAACUACGUGCCAGCCGCCGCGGUAA
rnacentral:rRNA from 1 species